rnacentral:rRNA from 1 species
GAUGAACGCUGGCGGCGUGCUUAACACAUGCAAGUCGAGCGAUGAAGUUUCCUUCAGGAAACGGAUUAGCGGCGGACGGGUGAGUAACACGUGGGUAACCUGCCUCAUGGAGUGGAAUAGCCUCCCGAAAGGAAGAUUAAUACCGCAUAACGUUGAAAGAUGGCAUCAUCAUUCAACCAAAGGAGCAAUCCGCUAUGAGAUGGACCCGCGGCGCAUUAGCUAGUUGGUGGGGUAACGGCCUACCAAGGCGACGAUGCGUAGCCGACCUGAGAGGGUGAUCGGCCACAUUGGGACUGAGACACGGCCCAGACUCCUACGGGAGGCAGCAGUGGGGAAUAUUGCACAAUGGGGGAAACCCUGAUGCAGCAACGCCGCGUGAGUGAUGAAGGUUUUCGGAUCGUAAAGCUCUGUCUUUGGGGAAGAUAAUGACGGUACUCAAGGAGGAAGCCACGGCUAACUACGUGCCAGCAGCCGCAGUAA